UACGGGGGGGGCAAGCGUUGUUCGGAAUUACUGGGCGUAAAGGGCUCGUAGGCGGCCAACUAAGUCAGACGUGAAAUCCCUCGGCUUAACCGGGGAACUGCGUCUGAUACUGGAUGGCUUGAGUUUGGGAGAGGGAUGCGGAAUUCCAGGUGUAGCGGUGAAAUGCGUAGAUAUCUGGAGGAACACCGGUGGCGAAGGUGGUUCUCUGGGCCUUACCUGACGCUGAGGAGCGAAAGCGUGGGGAGCGAACAGG
rnacentral:rRNA from 1 species